rnacentral:rRNA from 1 species
CCAAUAGCGUAUAUUAAAGUUGUUGCAGUUAAAAAGCUCGUAGUUGAAUUUCGGGAUCGAGGGAUCGGUCAUGCCUUGGUAUGUACUGGUUUCAUCGGUUCUCACCUUCUAAAGAACCAUAAUGUCAUUCAUUUGAUGUUAUGGGGAAUUAGGACUGUUACCUUGAAAAAAUUAGAGUGUUUAAAGCAGGCUUACGCUUGAAUACAUUAGCAUGGAAUAAUGAAAUAGGACAUCAGAUUCUAUUUUGUUGGUUUCUAGGAUCGAUGUAAUGAUUAAUAGGGGUAGUUAGGGGCAUUAGUAUUCAAUUGUCAGAGGGGAAAUUCUUGGAUUUAUUGAAGACUAACUACUGCGAAAGCAUUUGCCAAGGAUGUUUUCAUUAAUCAAGAACGAAAGUUAGGGGAUCGAAGACGAUCAGAUACCGUCGUAGUCUUAACCAUAAACUAUGCCGACUAGGGAUCGGAUGAUGUUAAUUUUAUAAUGACUCAUUCGGCACCUUACG